rnacentral:rRNA from 1 species
UCGAAGGUAGCAUAAUCAGUAGUUUUUUAAUUGAAGGCUGGUAUGAAUGGUUGGACGAAAUAUUAACUGUUUCAUAAAAAUUUAUAUUAGAAUUUUAUUUUUUAGUUAAAAAGCUAAAAUAUAUUUAAAAGACGAGAAGACCCUAUAAAUCUUUAUAUUUAAAUUAUUAUAAUUUUAUAGAUUUUUUUUAUUGUAAUUAUUGAUAAUAUUUUAUUGGGGUGAUAUUAAAAUUUAAUAAACUUUUAAUUAUUUAAAUCAUUAAUUUAUGAAUAAUUGAUCCAUUAUUAGUGAUUAAAAAAAUAAGUUACUUUAGGGAUAACAGCGUAAUUUUUUUGAAGAGUUCUUAUCAAUAAAAAAGAUUGCGACCUCGAUGUUGGAUUAA